rnacentral:rRNA from 1 species
UACGGGGGGGGCAAGCGUUGUUCGGAAUUACUGGGCGUAAAGGGCGCGUAGGCGGCGUGGCAAGUCACUUGUGAAAUCUCCGGGCUUAACUCGGAACGGUCAAGUGAUACUGCUGUGCUAGAGUGCGGAAGGGGCAACUGGAAUUCUUGGUGUAGCGGUGAAAUGCGUAGAUAUCAAGAGGAACACCUGCGGCGAAGGCGGGUUGCUGGGCCGACACUGACGCUGAGGCGCGAAAGCUAGGGGAGCGAACGGG